UGGGGAAUUUUGGACAAUGGGCGAAAGCCUGAUCCAGCCAUGCCGCGUGCAGGAAGAAGGCCUUCGGGUUGUAAACUGCUUUAGUCUAGGAAAAAGGGAUGCCCGGUUAAUACCUGGGUGUUUUGAUGGUACUGGAAGAAUAAGCACCGGCUAACUACGUGCCAGCAGCCGCGGUAAUACGUAGGGUGCAAGCGUUAAUCGGAAUUACUGGGCGUAAAGCGUGCGCAGGCGGUCUUGUAAGACAGUCGUGAAAUCCCCGGGCUUAACCUGGGAACUGCGAUUGUGACUGCAAGGCUAGAGUGUGUCAGAGGGGGGUGGAAUUCCACGUGUAGCAGUGAAAUGCGUAGAGAUGUGGAGGAACACCGAUGGCGAAGGCAGCCCCCUGGGAUAACACUGACGCUCAUGCACGAAAGCGUGGGGAGCAAACA
rnacentral:rRNA from 1 species